rnacentral:rRNA from 1 species
AUUUGAGAGUUUGAUCCUGGCUCAGGACGAACGCUGGCGGCGUGCCUAAUACAUGCAAGUUGAGCGAUGAAGAUUGGUGCUUGCACCAAUUUGAAGAGCAGCGAACGGGUGAGUAACGCGUGGGGAAUCUGCCUUUGAGCGGGGGACAACAUUUGGAAACGAAUGCUAAUACCGCAUAACAACUUUAAACAUAAGUUUUAAGUUUGAAAGAUGCAAUUGCAUCACUCAAAGAUGAUCCCGCGUUGUAUUAGCUAGUUGGUGAGGUAAAGGCUCACCAAGGCGAUGAUACAUAGCCGACCUGAGAGGGUGAUCGGCCACAUUGGGACUGAGACACGGCCCAAACUCCUACGGGAGGCAGCAGUAGGGAAUCUUCGGCAAUGGACGAAAGUCUGACCGAGCAACGCCGCGUGAGUGAAGAAGGUUUUCGGAUCGUAAAACUCUGUUGGUAGAGAAGAACGUUGGUGAGAGUGGAAAGCUCAUCAAGUGACGGU